GGUGCCGUAGCUCAGUGGCUUAGAGCGUACGAUUGCAACGCAGUUCAAAGAUCGUAAGGUCCCGUGUUCGAACCACGGUGGCACCU